AGUUGAGCCAGUCUCCACUUGCAGAGGCCCCUUCCAAGUUUCUCCUUCUCUUGCUCUGGGAAGCUCACAUUCUCAUCUUGGUUGCACCCUGUAUUAUCUUGCUCAGGCUGCCAAACACCACAGACUGACUGGGUUGCUUAAAGAGAACUUUAUCUUCUCAUAGUUCUGGAUGCUGGAAGUCCAAGAUCAAGGUGUCCCAUUCUUCUAUGGACCACACAACGGCAGGAACCAGUGUCUGGACAUAGAGGUGGAACGGGUUUUCCCCACAACUACGAGAAAUCUCUGACAGUUUCACUUCUCAGCAGAUGAGGCCCUAGUUGUGCCUGUCACAUGAGUCAGAGGUUCCUGACUGGACAUGUUCCCCAGCACAGCGCAUUCUGUAUAGAACACUCCCUUUCCUCAGGAUAAACAGCCAUUCACCUCCACAGAUCCUACUGUGUGCAACUUCUGGUGAGGGGCAAUCCACUGUUUUGUUAAGGUUGAAAAUCCAACACAGACCUGACCCUGGGAACAUACAAUCAUUUCUGACAGUCUAAAGGUUGACUAAAUAAAUGCAGAAAGCCCUCCAGGACCACACAGCCUGGUCUCAGGUCCAACAGAACCUGCCCAUUUCCUGAGGAUCAGCUUUACCCAUUGUUGCCUUCAAGAUCAAGAGUUCACCUUGAACGAACAUCCCUGUUAUUGGAGAUGGCAGGAUACAGAGUCACCCUCUCCAGCCAGUAGCACCAUUGGGGAAGGAGGUGUGUAUAAAAUAUGGAUCCUCAUGGAAGGAAACAUUCUGAAGGAUCAGAAUAUAUUUGACUCAUGCCACAUAA